UACGUAGGGUGCAAGCGUUAAUCGGAAUUACUGGGCGUAAAGCGUGCGCAGGCGGUUUUGUAAGUCUGUCGUGAAAGCCCCGGGCUUAACCUGGGAAUUGCGAUGGAGACUGCAAGGCUUGAAUCUGGCAGAGGGGGGUAGAAUUCCACGUGUAGCAGUGAAAUGCGUAGAGAUGUGGAGGAACACCGAUGGCGAAGGCAAUCCCCUGGGCCUGCACUGACGCUCAUGCACGAAAGCGUGGGGAGCAAACAGG
rnacentral:rRNA from 1 species